rnacentral:rRNA from 1 species
UGAGGAACAUGACCUUCGGCGGGGGAUAGCCGGCCCAACGGCCGGGUAAUACCGCGUACGACCUUUUGGGGACAUCCCCGAAUGGUGAAAGCAGCAAUGCGCCGAUGGAGUGCCUCGCGGCCUAUCAGCUAGUUGGUGGGGUAACGGCUCACCAAGGCGACGACGGGUAGCUGGUCUGAGAGGAUGGCCAGCCACAGUUGGGACUGAGACACGGCCCAGACUCC